CCCAGUAUCCCCUCCUCAGGUUUGAUUAAUUUGCUACAGUGGCUCACAGAGCUCAGGGAAACACUUUACUUACACUUAUUCAUUUAUUACAAGGGAUAUUUCAAAGGAUGAAAAUGAAGAGGCAGAUGGAAGAGGUGCACAGGGUGAGGCAUCUGGGAAGGGGCUUAGAGCUCCCACACCUGCUCCAGACACACCGCCCUCCAGGCUCCAUGUAUUCAGGUGGUGACUUUAUGCUUGGUGGAUCUGAAGCCACAUCUUCAAGCACAAAAUCGUUUUUAUGAUGUAAAGAUCCAUCUGGGGGAGCACCUGGCACCUGUCAAACCCCAUUCAGCUCCACCUAGAACCUGGCUGUGUUUGACCCUGCUCUCUCCUCAGACUGUGCUCCAUGUGGACACCUGUGGCUAGCUGGGUGAGGAGGAAGACUGCGGGAUAAAGAGAGAAGGAGGAGGCAGGAGAAAUGCACCUGGGUAUGCUGCCACCCCAGGCACGCACGUGAAAUCUUCGUGGAUGGGCAGGAAAUGCCCAUCCGUAGUAGCAUAGCAAGCAGCAUGGAGAUAAGCAAAGACCACUCAAAUGAGAGACACAAAGGCCCCAGCAAGGGAGUCAGCCAUCGCCAGUUGCAUUUUGGUAGAAAUUUCCAGGCAGGCAGAGGAUGGGAAAGGUUCACAGUGGAAAAAGGGGAGGCUCCAGGUG
rnacentral:lncRNA from 1 species